rnacentral:snoRNA from 1 species
AGCCCAUGAUAAGGACACCGUUAGAGUAAUUCUUUAUAUCUUCCCAAGCCUCAUACAACGAUUCAGAAUCUUGUUGCAUGAAUGAUGUGAUAUCAUUCGUCAUUUU